rnacentral:rRNA from 1 species
UUUAUUGGAGAGUUUGAUCCUGGCUCAGGAUGAACGCUGGCGGCGUGCCUAAUACAUGCAAGUCGAGCGAAUGGAUUGAGAGCUUGCUCUCAAGAAGUUAGCGGCGGACGGGUGAGUAACACGUGGGUAACCUGCCCAUAAGACUGGGAUAACUCCGGGAAACCGGGGCUAAUACCGGAUAAUAUUUUGAACUGCAUGGUUCAAAAUUGAAAGGCGGCUUCGGCUGUCACUUAUGGAUGGACCCGCGUCGCAUUAGCUAGUUGGUGAGGUAACGGCUCACCAAGGC